rnacentral:misc_RNA from 1 species
AAUUAUCAACCUUGAAAGCUUUUGCUCUUCAAUGGCUUGGAUGUGAGGGCUUUGCUGGCUAUCCUUCAGUGGAUUUGGUCUGCUCCCUUUAAAUGCAUUAGUGGGAUCUCUUUGUAGCCGGUCUCUCGGUGUGAUAAUUAUCUGCACUGUUAGACUUACAGACGAGGACCUGCUUAUAACCGUCCUUAAGCUGGACAACAUUACCUUUUUA